GUUGAUCCUGCCGGGGUUCACCGCUAUUGGAGUUCGCCUAAGCCAUGCAAGUCGAGAGGGGUAAGCCCUCGGCGUACCGCUCAGUAACACGCGGAUAAUCUAACCUAUGGUGAGGGAUAAUCUCGGGAAACUGAGGCUAAUACCUCAUAGAUCAGAUAUGCUGGAAUGCUCUCUGGUCCAAAGCUGAGGCGCCAUAGGAUGAGUCUGCGGCCUAUCAGGUAGUAGUGAGUGUAACGGACUCACUAGCCGACGACGGGUACGGGCUGUGGAAGCAGUCGCCCGGAGAUGGAUUCUGAGACACGAAUCCAGGCCCUACGGGGCGCAGCAGGCGCGAAAACUUUACACUGCAGGAAACUGCGAUAAGGGAACUCCAAGUGUCUAUGCAUCGCAUAGUCUGUUUUCCUGUCCAAAAAACAGGGAGAGUAAGGGCUGGGUAAGACGGGUGCCAGCCGCCGCGGUAAUACCCGCAGCCCGAGUGGUGAACACUUUUAUUGGGCCUAAAGCGUCCGUAGCCGGUCUGGUAAUCCUUGGGUAAAUCGUACGGCCUAACCGUGCGAAGUCUGGGGAGACUGUCAGACUUGGGACCGGGAGAGGUUGGAGGUACUCCAGGGGUAGGGGUGAAAUCCUGUAAUCCUUAGAGGACCACCGGUGGCGAAGGCGUCCAACUAGAACGGAUCCGACGGUGAGGGACGAAGCCGUGGGGCACAAACCGGAUUAGAUACCCGGGUAGUCCACGGUGUAAACGCUGCGGGCUUGGUGUUGGGGGUCCUAAGGGGGCGCCCAGUGCCGGAGAGAAAUUGUUAAGCCUGCCGCCUGGGGAGUACGGUCGCAAGACUGAAACUUAAAGGAAUUGGCGGGGGAGCACCGCAACGGGAGGAGCGUGCGGUUUAAUUGGAUUCAACGCCGUAAAACUCACCGGGGGAGACUCUUACAUGAAGGCCAAGCUGAUGACUUUACCCGAUUUUGAGAGAGGUGGUGCAUGGCCGCCGUCAGUUCGUACCGCAAGGCGUUCUGUUAAGUCAGAUAACGAACGAGACCCCAAUCCUUAAUUGCCAAGCUUCCCUCAGGGGGAGCGGAACAUUAAGGGGACCGCUGGUGUUAAAUCAGAGGAAGGCGGGGCAACGGUAGGUCAGUAUGCCCUGAAUCCCUCGGGCUACACGCGCGCUACAAAGGACAAGACAAUGGGUUCCGACAUCGAAAGGUGAAGGCAAUCCCGAAACUUGUUCGUAGUUCGGAUUGAGGGCUGUAACCCGCCCUCAUGAAGGUGGAUUCCUUAGUAAUCGUAAGUCAACAUCUUACGGUGAAUAUGCCCCUGCUCCUUGCACACACCGCCCGUCAAACCAUCUGAGUAGGGCGAAGACGAGGGUUCAUCCUCUUGGUGAAUUCGAAUCUUUGUUCUGCAAGGAGGGUUAAGUCGUAACAAGGUA
rnacentral:rRNA from 1 species